GGAGGGUUGUAACUCAGUGGUAGAGCACCGGCUUUGCAUGCAGAAGGUCCCAGGUUCAAGCCUUGGCAUCUCCA